AGAUGGCGACCGGCGCACGGGUGAGUAACACGUAUCCAACCUGCCGAUAACUCGGGGAUAGCCUUUCGAAAGAAAGAUUAAUGCCCGAUGGCAUAAUAGAACCGCAUGGUUUGAUUAUUAAAGAAUUUCGGUUAUCGAUGGGGAUGCGUUCCAUUAGGCAGUUGGUGGGGUAACGGCCCACCAAACCUUCGAUGGAUAGGGGUUCUGAGAGGAAGGUCCCCCACAUUGGAACUGAGACACGGUCCAA
rnacentral:rRNA from 1 species